GCACGAGAGGACAUCCUCUUGUGUGAAAAACUCCGGUGGUACAGGAUGGGCCCGCGUCUGAUUAGCUGGUUGGCAGGGUAACGGCCUACCAAGGCGACGAUCAGUAGCCGGUCUGAGAGGAUGAACGGCCACAUCGGAACUGAGACACGGUCCAAACUCCUACGGGAGGCAGCAGUGGGGAAUAUUGCACAAUGGGGGAAACCCUGAUGCAGCAACGCCGCGUGAGUGAAGAAGUAUUUCGGUAUGUAAAGCUCUAUCAGCAGGGAAGAUAAUGACGGUACCUGACUAAGAAGCUCCGGCUAAAUACGUGCCAGCAGCCGCGGUAAUACGUAUGGAGCAAGCGUUAUUCGGAUUUACUGGGUGUAAAGGGUGCGUAGGUGGCAGUGCAAGUCAGAUGUGAAAGGCCGGGGCUCAACCCCGGAGCUGCAUUUGAAACUGCAUAGCUGGAGUACAGGAGAGGCAGGCGGAAUUCCUAGUGUAGCGGUGAAAUGCGUAGAUAUUAGGAGGAACACCAGUGGCGAAGGCGGCCUG
rnacentral:rRNA from 1 species